GCUCCAGCGGUCACCGUCGGUAAUCACAAAGAGUUGCACCGCACGCGCUAUCUAAGCUUAUAGUACGAUCGUGUUUUAGACGCCGUGAAACGAGAAGAACGCAGACGCCCUACGCCCUCACGCUUCCGUGGGUUGCAGUGUACAUGGAUCCCCGCUACCACCAUCUUUUCACCCCUGAGCAAAAGUACCGGGCCACGUUUUACUCGACAAAGACUUGAAGGCGGAUCGCAGCUCUGCAAUGCGAGCAGAUCCUACCCUUUCUUCUGAAACUGCGGCGGCUCCAGAAGAUCCCGGAGAAGCCCUGGAAGCGCUCCUCAAGGAGAAAGAGGUUGAGGCUGGAGUGCACGUUCGAGUUUUGGGAAGAGACGGGAGCGCCAUCCAGAACUCUGCGCAUUGGCGCAAGUAGCCCUGGGAGUGCCUGCGACCCAGGUG